AGGGUUUGAUCCUGGCUCAGAUUGAACGCUGGCGGCAGGCCUAACACAUGCAAGUCGAGCGCGAAAACACUUCGGUGUGAGUAAAGCGGCGGACGGGUGAGUAACGCGUAGGAAUCUACCUAGUAGUGGGGGACAACUCGGGGAAACUCGAGCUAAUACCGCAUACGCCCUACGGGGGAAAGCGGGGGACCUUCGGGCCUCGUGCUAUUAGAUGAGCCUGCGUUGGAUUAGCUAGUUGGUGGGGUAAAGGCCUACCAAGGCGACGAUCCAUAGCUGGUCUGAGAGGAUGAUCAGCCACACCGGGACUGAGACACGGCCCGGACUCCUACGGGAGGCAGCAGUGGGGAAUAUUGCGCAAUGGGCGAAAGCCUGACGCAGCCAUGCCGCGUGUGUGAAGAAGGCCUUCGGGUUGUAAAGCACUUUCAAUUGGGAGGAAAGGUUCACGACUAAUACUCGUGAGCUGUGACGUUACCUUUAGAAGAAGCACCGGCUAACUCCGUGCCAGCAGCCGCGGUAAUACGGAGGGUGCGAGCGUUAAUCGGAAUUACUGGGCGUAAAGCGCGCGUAGGUGGUCUGUUAAGUCGGAUGUGAAAGCCCCGGGCUCAACCUGGGAACUGCAUCCGAUACUGGCAGACUAGAGUGCGGGAGAGGGAGGUAGAAUUCCACGUGUAGCGGUGAAAUGCGUAGAUAUGUGGAGGAAUACCAGUGGC
rnacentral:rRNA from 1 species